GUGAACAGCACGGCAUUAUCAUAUCUGACACUGACAAGUGCAUACGUCACUGCAUACCACUUACCAGUUACCACUUCUGCUAGCUCCUUCAAUGCCACCAGUUUUGUGAUUCCUUCUCUGGAAUGUGGAUGUGGCUAAUAUCUGACCAUGGUGAAAUCGUGUGCUGCCAUCUCCUGCACCAAUUGAUUUGUAAUAUUUCCUUUCAUAAGUUUCCCAAGCAGUCCAAGGACAGCACACUGAGAGAUCAAUGGAUACAGGCCAUCAGUAGAGAAGCGGUGGGGACCAAGAGGAGAUGGAUCAUAAUUAUGUAUGUAGCAACCAUUUCAGGGAGGAGGACCUCAUCCUCUCAAAACAUGCGCAACACAAGCUUCUCAGACCAGGGGCUGUACCAUCCCUCAAUUUGGGGAAACCAGAGAAAAAGGUUAUGUUCUUUAAUUGUUAAUGGUUGCUCAUUAUUUCAAUUUAGUACUUUUCUUGUCAAUUUGUGUGGCUAUGAAAAUGAUUCAGGAUCGGUUUUUGGCUUUCAUAGUGAUUUGCAGCCAUUCGUUGUGAUAAUGUUUUCUUUCAGGUAUUGGUGAAACAGAAACAAAUCUUUUGGGAAUUUGCCAUGUUAAUUCUUUUAUCAAAUGUUUUAGACCGCAGUGAGGACAACCCAAACCAGCCAGGAAGCAGUGGCAUUUGACCAGCACAUCGACAUAGAGUCCUUUACUAAAACAGUUCUAUUUAGAAAUCAGUGACUUCCCAAUAUCCUUAUUAUUUCCAGCAAUGCCUAUAAAUUCCUGUAUUUUGUGCAAAAACUCCUGUAUAUUUUCAAGCCUUUUGAUGCACUGAAAAUUAGUAAUUUGUUCACUUUGUGAAAAUUAUGUGGAAAAGUACACUUUUGGUUAGAUUUUUAAAAAGCCAUGCAUUUCAUAUCGUCAAAUUGCUUUUCUCGAAAUAAUUUUGGCACGCUAUUUCUGGGAAAAUAGGCUACUUCAUAAGUUUCAAACUGAAACAUUUUGUUUUUGCCCUGAAGUUGGCGUUUUAUAGCAAAUUGUUCAUGGAAUUUUAUUGUGAAAUAUAUAUUUCCUACAAUACUCCUAUAUUUUCUCAGAGAAGACUUUUAUAUUGUCAUAUUUCUGUCAAGUGCACUUGAUACCCUGUAAAUAUUUUAUUGGAACAUAGAUAUUUGCAAAUGAACCUACAAGUGCUGUAGCUAUUGUAAUGCAAUUUAGCAACACAAACUUUUGUCUGGGUGGUGUAUUUUAUAUUUUUUGUUAACAAGUUGGAGCAGUAUUCCAUUGUAAAAAUAAAUACUUUCAAUGGUUUCCUUCGUUAUAUAGUGCCUGUAUCUCUGGAAGUAUUUGGUCUAGAAAGUCAUGGCUGGGCUCAAGCUACUCAAAAAUCUCCAGUUUGACUGCAACGUCAACCUCUGCUUGCAGUACUCAAGGCUGUCAGGCCUGUGAAUUUUCCAUCCCUCUUUACACUCAAACAUAAUUUAGAUUUUUUGGCUACUGCAUGUGCUGCUUUUUUAAGUCCAACUGAAUAAUUUGAAUUGGAGAAAAAUUGUUUAAAACACUAAUUUUCUUAUUUGGCAUUGGUUUGAAUAUUUUCUAGAGCCCAUGUAAGUGAAACACUAAUGCUGCAGAAAGUAUGAAUUUUUUUUAUUGACACAAUCACUGCAUCAGCAUUCAGCAAUCAUUAUCAUUGUGUGGUGGUCUCUGUUUGUUGUAGCCUCAUGUAGGCAGAACGUGUGAAGAGGCUAAAUAUGAAGGAUAUUGGAAUGGAGGCUCUGUGUUUUGCUAUUAUAUGAGUGUGUUUGCCAUAGAAACAUGCCUUGUGCUUUGUUUUUUCUUGUCUGUGAGGGCUAAACAACGCUGUGAUUGCCGUGAAAACGUGUCUAGGACAGAGAUUUUAUUGCCUGCUAACAGUAAAAGCCAUAACAUAACACAUAUUGUCCCACCAGUGAUGACAAGCAGGCCUUGAAGUUGGUGUAUUCACACAGGAUCAAAUAGCGCGCCACAGCUUCUUGCUUCUUGUUGAACACAACAAAGACAUGCGACAGACAUCACAGCUGAAAGUGACCACACAACUGGGAGUGGGCCCUGGUGGGAAUCAAGUGACAUCUGACAGUAAUGUUGUGACUCCACCAGUCUCUGUUACAGCUCUAUCUUCCAAGAUGCAGGCAGAGGAAUCCUCUGAUCGCCUCGAGCGCCUCAUAGCCAUGCUGGAGCAUGUUAUGGAGCAACAGCCAAAACAGACUGGACUUGUUAACAUGAAAAGUGGACAGCCACGUCUGAAUCUGACAAAUAAACCUACACCUGUUGUAGUUUGUGACAUUUGUGGGGAUGUUGAACAUACCACCUUUUAUCACUGUAGAGCCAAUCACCUGUGUUUUGUGUGCUUCUCACCUGACCACACACGGGCUGAGUGCCCCAGGACUGUUGCCACUAGGUCCAAGGGUCCUAAGCUCACUGCUCAGAGUGAGGGAAACUAGAUGGCCUACAUGUGAUGGGGGCAAGUGUUAGGCCUGAGUGUGACCCCCUAAUGACUGUUGACAAUGAUGACUCAAAUUCUGUCUAUCAGAGUGUUUGUGAAGAGAGAGACCGAGGCAGCAGUAGACAUUAACAGAGGGCCACAUAGGACUGCACUCUUAACCAGAUAUGAAAACUGCUGUUUUAAUUAUGUUUGUAUAUGUUUAUUGACCAAACAUAUAGUGCACAGUAAUUUGGCAUAUUCCAUACUCAAAUGCAUGUAUGACAGUUGUACUCCUUUUUGAUAAAUACGAAUAGAAAAGGUUUGAAAUAAACAAAAAAGAACGACUCAUUGUGAUUUGUCUGACUCCAAAACAUAAUUCUCCUACACAUUGCGCCUAGCUUGAAAAAACAGAUCUGACUGCAGGUUGCAGAUACAACUCUGAAGAGGGAGGGAGAGAGAGAGGGAGAGAGGGAGAGGGAGAGAGAGAGGGAGAUCAAUGGCUGCAUGGCAUGGAAAACUUGGACCCUGGAACACACUACUUUCUCAAUCAAGUUUUCUCUUUCCUCCGCUCUUAUCCAUGGCACAACAUCUCUUCCACAUUAGUUGGGAAGACUGAUGAAGAGGGAUAGUUGGAACUGCAUUGUAGUGGCCAGGUGUGUCAUUACAACUGAUUCAGCACCACAGAGGACACAUUUUUAUAAUUUUCAAAAAUUAAUCUGAGGGCCACUUCAAGUGAGGGCAUGAGCCGUGUGCGGCCCCUGGACUGCCGGUUGCCCAUCCUAUUCGGUUUCAAUAUUAGCUGCAAGUAAUGACAGUCAUAACUGAAAGUAAAUUUAACUUUUUGUUUUUGCUCUGUUGAAAUUCCAGAAUCAUAUUGUUGAAAGGAUGUGGCCAGAAGUCAACAACAGAGUGAACUACCUACUGAAAACGGCUCUCGUCCAGCUCGUAGACCAGGAGGAACUUGACAUGGAGGACAACUUGACACGAUACUGUGUCUCCACACUUACAUGUUAGGUAGCAGAGAUUGGACUUGGUCGGAUGGUGCAGUCCUGGAAUGCACACAGGAUCCAAGGAAAAGGUAUUCCAAGUCAACUGGCUCUGGGUGGAUGCCCAAAGAAACUGCCGGCAGAUUGUUUGCCAGAGGCUGCAGAAGCUGCACAAGCUUACCACCAGGAAGUGGGGUCAUCGCUGAUGCAAGUCUCCCUUUUCGGGAGAAACCCAUUCCCCACAGCUGAACAACAAACAGCAGCUGAAAAUGAAUUUGCACAGCAAUACUUGGACAUUUCUGUGCUCUAUGACAAUGCUGUGAACAACAAUCCAACCAGUUUUCAAAGCGGGAUCAAGGACCUCAUCAAUAUUGUGAAAACAUGUGUAGAGAGAGCUGAAACAUCACCGACAUUUUUGUGACAUAAUGUUAUUCAUAUAUUUUUCUUUUUUCUGACUUUGUUCUUGUUAUUCUUGUAUUAAAGACUGUUGUUUUUUCA